UACGUAGGGGGCAAGCGUUGUCCGGAUUUAUUGGGCGUAAAGCGCUCGCAGGUGGUUCGUCGCGUCGUGCGUGAAAGACCCCGGCUCAACUGGGGAGGGUCGUGCGAUACGGGCGGACUGGGGGGCAGUAGGGGGAUGUGGAAUUCCGGGUGUAGUGGUGGAAUGCGUAGAGAUCCGGAGGAACAUCAGCGGCGAAGGCGGCAUCCUGGACUGGUACUGACACUCAGGAGCGAAAGCGUGGGGAGCGAUCAGG
rnacentral:rRNA from 1 species